rnacentral:rRNA from 1 species
AAACGAUGUGAAGUUACUUAAACAACCAGGAGGUUGGCUUAGAAGCAGCCAUCCUUUAAAGAAAGCGUAAUAGCUCACUGGUCUAGUGAUUUUGCGCGGAAAAUAUAACGGGGCUAAAGUAAGUACCGAAGCUGUAGACUUGCACACAACUUAGAUUAUUUAAGUUUAGAAUAUGAGAAACUAAGUUAUAUGUUUAGUUAUAUUUUUACUGAUUUUUAUAGAGUAAAGAUAGAAAUAAAACUUAAUAAAAUCAGUAAAAAUAUUCUUAGGCUAAAGUUAAGUAGUUUAAGUUGUGUGCAAGUGGUAGGAGAGCGUUCUAUUUGCGUCGAAGGUAUACCGGUAAGGAGUGCUGGAGCGAAUAGAAGUGAGCAUGCAGGCAUGAGUAGCGAUAAUUAAUGUGAGAAUCAUUAACGCCGUAAACCCAAGGUUUCCUACGCGAUGCUCGUCAUCGUAGGGUUAGUCGGGUCCUAAGUCGAGUCCGAAAGGGGUAGACGAUGGCAAAUUGGUUAAUAUUCCAAUACCAACAUUAGUGUGCGAUGGAAGGACGCUUAGGGCUAAGGGGGCUAGCGGAUGGAAGUGCUAGUCUAAGGUUGUAGGAGGUUAUACAGGCAAAUCCGUAUAACAAUACUCCGAGAACUGAAAGGCUUUUUGAAGUCUUCGGAUGGAUAGAAGAACCCCUGAUGCCGUCGAGCCAAGAAAAGUUUCUAAGUUUAGCUAAUGUUGCCCGUACCGUAAACCGACACAGGUGGGUGGGAUGAGUAUUCUAAGGCGCGUGGAAGAACUCUCUUUAAGGAACUCUGCAAAAUAGCACCGUAUCUUCGGUAUAAGGUGUGGUUAGCUUCGUACUAGGAUUUACUCCGAAAGCGAAGAAACUUACAACAAAGAGUCCCUCCCGACUGUUUACCAAAAACACAGCACUCUGCUAACUCGUAAGAGGAUGUAUAGGGUGUGACGCCUGCCCGGUGCUCGAAGGUUAAUUGAUGGGGUUAGCAUUAGCGAAGCUCUUGAUCGAAGCCCGAGUAAACGGCGGCCGUAACUAUAACGGUCCUAAGGUAGCGAAAUUCCUUGUCGGUUAAAUACCGACCUGCAUGAAUGGCGUAACGAGAUGGGAGCUGUCUCAAAGAGGGAUCCAGUGAAAUUGUAGUGGAGGUGAAAAUUCCUCCUACCCGCGGCAAGACGGAAAGACCCCGUGGACCUUUACUACAGCUUGACACUGCUACUUGGAUAAGAAUGUGCAGGAUAGGUGGGAGGCUUUGAGUAUAUGACGCCAGUUGUAUAUGAGCCAUUGUUGAGAUACCACUCUUUCUUAUUUGGGUAGCUAACCAGCUUGAGUUAUCCUCAAGUGGGACAAUGUCUGGUGGGUAGUUUGACUGGGGCGGUCGCCUCCCAAAUAAUAACGGAGGCUUACAAAGGUUGGCUCAGAACGGUUGGAAAUCGUUCGUAGAGUAUAAAGGUAUAAGCCAGCUUAACUGCAAGACAUACAAGUCAAGCAGAGACGAAAGUCGGUCUUAGUGAUCCGGUGGUUCUGUGUGGAAGGGCCAUCGCUCAAAGGAUAAAAGGUACCCCGGGGAUAACAGGCUGAUCUCCCCCAAGAGCUCACAUCGACGGGGAGGUUUGGCACCUCGAUGUCGGCUCAUCGCAUCCUGGGGCUGGAGCAGGUCCCAAGGGUAUGGCUGUUCGCCAUUUAAAGCGGUACGCGAGCUGGGUUCAGAACGUCGUGAGACAGUUCGGUCCCUAUCUGCCGUGGGCGUAAGAAGAUUGAAGAGAUUUGACCCUAGUACGAGAGGACCGGGUUGAACAAACCACUGGUGUAGCUGUUGUUCUGCCAAGAGCAUCGCAGCGUAGCUAAGUUUGGAAAGGAUAAACGCUGAAAGCAUCUAAGCGUGAAGCCAACUCUAAGAUGAAUCUUCUCUAAGCUCUCUAGAAGACUACUAGUUUGAUAGGCUGGGUGUGUAAUGGAUGAAAGUCCUUUAGCUGACCAGUACUAAUAGAGCAUUUGGCUUAUCUUUAAUAAAGCAU